CAAAAAGCACGUGCGGUGUCCAGGCGUUCGCAAGCUGAUUGCAGCCUUCAAAAGACGUGGCAAUUGUGUCGUUCGGUUGGUGGAUGAAUUCAUGACAUCGCAACAUUGUGCUCGAUGCUUCAAACGGUUCCCGAUAUGGACGAAGAGCAAACGAUACAAGAAGUGCAACGAUUGCCAACCAGAUGAACGUGUUGGACUUCCGAGAACCAUCUAUACGAACGUGAGCAAACGAGUGUUACAAAUGCAACGAAAAAUCAUGCGUACAUGGGAGGAAAUGCGCGACCAAGGUGAUGCUAUUGCAGCCAUUCUAACCCAACGAAAUUCAGGACGUUUGGUGUCAAAGAAGCAACGCUUCUUCAAAACCUGGCAACCAAAUGCUGCUGAAAACGCUGGAACAGAAGACGCUGCACAAUCACGCAAGUUGCUCAAAUCACUUUGGCAUCGGGACAUAUCAGCAGCCAAACUGAUCAUGUACAAAAGUCGUUGCACGCUGCUUGACAUUCCGAUACAUCCAGCAUUGCUGCGACGACCAGAUGACGACGGCGUUCCACUCAAUUCAUAAAUCAAAAUCCAGCGUUUAGCAUUAAAGUUUUUUUUUUAACAAAUAUUUUCUAAUAGUUUAUUAGAGUUCUCAAGCCUUGCACUUAGUGGGCUAUUUUAAGGUUUAUAAGGUGUCUAACUUUAUUUACCGCAGUACAUGAGUGGUUUUAUAGACGUUAUUUGAUGAUCAGAAUGGGUUAUGUUCAUUUUCCGGUUUGACAAUGUCGCCGCAUUCUUUGGAUAUGACUUGUUCAAUGCAUCAUAUCACGGUUAUAAAAAACACCCUAAAAGUAAAGUCUGACACUUUUACUUUAUUUCGGUAGAUAUCAUUAUGAUAUUAUCAUAAAAAUUUCCAAAUUUUUUCUAAAUGAUUGUACUCAGCGAGCAGAUAAGUUUAAACUGUGAAAAUAAAUUCAAGUGAUGAAUGUUGGUAUCGAGCAUUUUAUUCAAUUAAUAAUAUUUUGACGAAAAAACAAUAAUUUGGUUAUUUUUCAUCGUAAUUUUUCCAAAUUGUCUGGAGACUAGAUCUAUUCUUUGGUCAUUUUCAUUAUUGAUUUGAAGUCGAAGAAUCUAGAGUAAUGCUAAGAGUAAUGACAUCACAAAAGUAAUAACUAUUACUGUUUCGUUGCAAUAAUAAUAACGCGUUAAUCAAAAUUAUAUUAUUAUUAGAAUCUCAACGUUACAGUAAAAUGUAUUACAAUUGUAAUAUAAUUUUCAAUAGCAAUCCUAUUGCAUUGGCAUACUUUGAACCCCCAUUACAAUAAUGAUAUGUUAGAGCAAAAUGUAUUUCUGUAAGACAAUUCAAUCAAUGAAAGAAAUGUUACACUCAUUUCUAAAAAAAAGUUGGACAGGUUAUGAUGGCAUGAAAUUAGACUUAUAACCGAGUAAAUCCCUAGUUGAGACUUAGCCCGUGUCUUAUGUUAUGGUAAAAACAAGACCGCUUGAAGCUUGUAAAUUUAAGAGGUUUAAUUAAUUUGAUGUUUCUCAUCAAAUUACUAUCGUAAGCACUACAUGGAAUGUAGUUUUAAUCGUAGUAUACUUUUUGUAUGCAAAUCAUUUUAAUAUUGUCAAAAAUAAUUAAAUAAAUUUAUAUGAUGAUAAUGUAUUCUUCACUUAUGUGUUUGUACAUUAUUUCACAUUGGUAACGAAAAAAGUGUUUUUUUUUUAGUUAUCUCAAAACUAUUGACUAGAUCGAGAGGAGAGUAUGUGAAAAAAUUCAAAUAUAUUUUGGAAGAGGAGAGUAUGUUUUCUGAUGAUUCUGUUGGCGUUAAAGUAGAGUAUGUUGUAGUACCGUCUAGCCUCUGCGGUCUUCACGGUUUUCGCGCAACUGAUAGGAGAUAACAACAUGGUGUCUUCGGCAAAGUUGUAGUACACAAGUCUUCUAUAACAUUACUGAAGACAUCUAUCUCCUAUCUCUUAUCAGUUGCGCGCAAAUCGCGCACAUAAAAAAGCAAAUUUUAUAUAGAACUUUUUUUCUUAUCAUUUUUCGCGCUUUUCGCGGAGCUGAUAAGAGAUAAGAGAUAACUGACUCAGCAAUGUUAUAGAAGACUUCGAGUGCUACAACUUUGCCGAAGACACCAAGUUGUUAACUCUUAUCAGUUCCGCGGAAACCGUGGAAAACCGCGAGGACCCACCAAAAAUGAACAUACUCGCCUUUAACCAUUUUUGAGUCGAAGGAAACUUACUCUUCUCUUUCAUAACAAAGUCAGAUGAACUUACUCUCCUCUCGAUCUAGUC